UCUAUGCUCACCCAACCUGUGACUGAGUGUUUCUAUCUCUGGUGCACGGCCCUGUUUGGAGUCUCCAAACCCAGCAGAUUCCUGCUGAGUGUUCCCACGCUGCUCCUCCCAGAGGAGAAAGAGGGGGGUCUCCCAGAUCUGCCACUUGUGGGGUCCCUGCCUGAAGAGUAGUGGCCUAACUGUGCCUUGAAUCAUGGUUUAAGCCCAGAAAAACCACAAAGAAUUUGAACCAAAGCAAUUUGAAGAGCAGAAUUGCAGGAAGCAGAAGACGGCCUGUAAACUGUCGGGUCUCGGAAUCCUCCCCUGCCCUUCGUCAGAGUCAGGUGUGGGGACAAGAUGGACAGUGGAGGCCCUCGUGGAGCCAAGUGGGAGGACAGUUGGCCCAGACAAUGCCAGGCAUGGAGUAGGUUCACAUCAAAAGUUCAUGGAAUGGAGUUGGAGGUAUGAUAUCCAGAGACGCUAAGCA